rnacentral:tRNA from 1 species
GGAUGGCUAGUGGUGAAGCACCGGAUCAUGUAUCCGGAAACGCGGGUCCGAAUCCCGCUCCAA